CAGUAGCCACGGUAAUACGGAGGGAGCUAGCGUUGUUCGGAAUUACUGGGCGUAAAGCGCACGUAGGCGGCUUUGUAAGUUAGAGGUGAAAGCCUGGAGCUCAACUCCAGAAUUGCCUUUAAGACUGCAUCGCUUGAAUCCGGGAGAGGUGAGUGGAAUUCCGAGUGUAGAGGUGAAAUUCGUAGAUAUUCGGAAGAACACCAGUGGCGAAGGCGGCUCACUGGACCGGCAUUGACGCUGAGGUGCGAAAGCGUGGGGAGCAAACAGGAUUAGAUACCCCUGUAGUCCCUGUCUCUUAUAC
rnacentral:rRNA from 1 species